ensembl:rRNA 5S_rRNA 5S ribosomal RNA
UUACAUGCCCAUGCCACCCUGAACAAGCCCAGUGUCUGAUCUCAGAAGCUAAGUAGGUCGGGCCUGGUUAGUACUUGGAUAGGAGAUCACCUAGGAAGACCAGGUGCUAUAGGCA